rfam:Bacillus subterraneus strain MITOT1 contig_225, whole genome shotgun sequence.
CAGUCCUUUAAGACAGUCCCGUGAGGCUGAGAAGGAAACGGAUCAACAAAGGCAUUGCGUUUGCCUUGUUGUAAUUGACUCUACCCGUUUACCCUCUUGCCAAACAGGCAGGAGGGUUUUUUGAA